GACGAACGCUGGCGGCGUGCUUAACACAUGCAAGUCGAACGAAGUGGCGAACGGGUGAGUAACGCGUAAUCAACCUGCCCUUCAGAGGGGGACAACAGUUGGAAACGACUGCUAAUACCGCAUACUGAAGGAGGGGAUUGCGUCUGAUGAGCUAGUUGGAUGGGUAACGGCCCACCAAGGCGAUGAUCAGUAGGCGGUCUUAGAGGAUGAACGGCCAAAUUGGGACUGGGAACCGGCCCAGACUCCUACGGGAGGGAGCAGUGGGGAAAUGUCCGAAAUGGACGAAAGUCCUACGGAGCAACGCCGCGGGAGUUAUGACGGCCUUCGGGUUGUAAAGCUCCGUUAAUCGGGACGCGGUACCGGAAUAGAAAGCCACGGCUAACUACGUGCCAGCAGCCGCGGUAAUUC
rnacentral:rRNA from 1 species